CUCUAUAAGCCCAAUUUUAAAACCCUAAAACACCACCCUCUGCCAUUUCAGAUGCACCGCAGCUCUCCUCCCUCUCUGCCGCUCCACAUCCCUCUCAUUCCGACGACGGAAUGAAGAGAUCCCCCAACGCCGCUCGAGACGGUGGAGGAGAACGUGGAAAAGGGCAUUGUGAGGGCUGCUGAACGUGCGAGCAACGACGUGGGCGGUGGGGCGGUUGCGGCGCUAGGUUUGCUGCUAGGGUUUCUGCGUCUUGGGCUGUAAUUGGAUUAACUAUUGGGGCUUGUAGUUUGGAAUAUGGACAUUAUUUAAAUUUGUUUUGUUUUCUGCUUAUGCGGGCCCGGGCCCAAAAUUGGAUAUUACAAUUAAGAUGCUCACUUGGUAGUGAUGCUACAAAGAAAAUGAUAUUUUAAUGAAUUUGAAUUCAUCAGAAGAAUUUUGACAGUAAA